rnacentral:rRNA from 1 species
GAGUUUGAUCGUGGCUCAGGAUGAACGCUGGCGGCGUGCUUAACACAUGCAAGUCGAGCGAAGCACUUUACUUUGAAUUCUUCGGAAUGAAGAGUGAUUUGACUGAGCGGCGGACGGGUGAGUAACACGUGGGUAACCUGCCCAAAAGAGGGGGAUAACACUUGGAAACAGGUGCUAAUACCGCAUAACCAUGAUGACCGCAUGGUCAUUAUGUAAAAGAUGGUUUCGGCUAUCACUUUUGGAUGGACCCGCGGCGUAUUAACUUGUUGGUGGGUAACGGCCUACCAAGGUGAUGAUACGUAGCCGAACUGAGAGGUUGAUCGGCCACAUUGGGACUGAGACACGGCCCAAACUCCUACGGGA